rnacentral:rRNA from 1 species
AUUGAACGCUGGCGGCGUGCCUAACACAUGCAAGUCGAGCGGGGGGAGUACUUCGGUACAAACCUAGCGGCGGACGGGUGAGUAACACGUGGGUAACCUGCCUCAAAGUGGGGGAUAGCCUUCCGAAAGGAAGAUUAAUACCGCAUAACCCAUAGCUUCCGCAUGGAAGCAAUGGUAAAGAUUUAUCGCUUUGAGAUGGACCCGCGGCGCAUUAGCUAGUUGGUGAGGUAACGGCUCACCAAGGCCACGAUACGUAGCCGACCUGAGAGGGUGAUCGGCCACAUUGGAACUGAGACACGGUCCAGACUCCUACGGGAGGCAGCAGUGGGGAAUAUUGCACAAUGGGCGAAAGCCUGAUGCAGCAACGCCGCGUGAGUGAUGAAGGCCUUCGGGUUGUAAAGCUCUGUCUUUUGGGACGAUAAUGACGGUACCAAAGGAGGAAGCCACGGCUAACUACGUGCCAGCAGCCGCCGUAACAC